rnacentral:rRNA from 1 species
AAACAUGUCUUUUUGAAUUUAAAUAUAARGUCUAAUCUGCCCACUGAUAAAUUAUUUAACGGCCGCAGUAUUUUAACUGUGCAAAGGUAGCAUAGUAAUUAGUCUUUUAAUUGAAGGCUUGUAUGAAUGAUUGGACGAGAUAUAAACUGUUUCAUAAAAAUUUUUUUAGAAUUUAAUUUUUUAGUUAAAAAGCUAAAAUAUAUUUAAAAGACGAGAAGACCCCAUAGAUCUUUAUAUUUUUUUUUAUUAUAGAUUUUUAGUUUUUUUAUAAAUUAAUAAAUAAAAAUAUUUUGUUGGGGUGACAUUGAAAUUUAAUAAACUUUCAAAAUUUAAUAACAUUAAUUUAUGAAUUUAUGAUCCUUUAUUAUUGAUUAAAAAUUUAAGUUACCUUGGGGAUAACAGCGUAAUUAUUUUGGAGAGUUCAUAUCGAUAAAAUAGAUUGCGACCUCGAUGUUGGAUUAAGAUUAAUUUUGGGUGUAGUAGUUCAAAAUAUUAAGUCUGUUCGACUUUUAAUUUCUUACGUGAUCU